GUAUGGGGGGGGGUACUCCGGCAGAGCAGAAGUUCAAGUGCGCGCUUUCAGGAUGCUGCCCCCCAGGCUGCAUGGCAAUUAACUUUGUAAAACACGACUAUUUCCUCAUUGGUUCCUCCACAGCUUUGUGGGUUAACCAGACAAACUUCCCCACAGAGGAGAAGAACAGCCUGGAGUGGUCAGGGCCAGAGCCUAAACCAGCGAAAAAGCCAGAACACAGAUCCCACAAUCUCUGGAUUAGGGUAGCACGGGCCUAGGCAGACACCCACUCUGGCUUCUUCAGGCUGAGAGUUGUCUCAAGCCCGAUGGAGCCGGUGUCUGCUGCCACUUACCAAUGGGUGCAGCCCCUGGCCAGUGAGGACUCAGAACGAGGUCCAGGAACAAGUGAGAAGAGCUGCAUGACGGGCGGUUUGACUAUCAAAGGGCUGAAGGGAAGCUCUCCGGAAAACUGGAGACAGCCUUGACUAAAAGCCACCCUUGUGGCUGACUGUGCUAUGGGAAUCAAACAUGAAACCAUGUCCUGUGUACAAUCACAUAACUUUAGCACAGAAAUAUAUAUAUAUAAAAUACUCAAAGAAUUAGCUCAUAGUUGCAAAUACACUCUACUAAUAGAUACUUGUUCCAAUCAAGCCUUUUUCACUAUUUCCUAUGUGAAACUCUGGUCUCUGUCUACAGUGCGUUAAUUCUAAAAGGGCUUUCCAGGUCCCAGUUUUUUCUGGAUAAUGAGGAUCUUUUAUCUGCCCAGUCUUCCCUAACAGACAGCAGUGCCAGAGACAGAAAUGCCACAUUAUCUCCUGGGAUAGGGAUGCAUCUAAGUCACCAAAGAAGGCUGUGCAGAACCACUUGUCUCAUUAGUUGUUAAAAGAGUGAGUCAGCUGGUAUACCCAGAGCUGUCAGAGGCAAAGUGUAAGCUGAGGUCUCAGUUAGGGCCCCAGAGAUGAAGGGCAAACAGGUGACUUCAGACACCCAGGCUCUUGUCCUCAGCUUUUCAGGCCUUGGCAGUGAUCUCCGAAAGUUUAGAGGGCUUUCUUUGGAGGGCAGAGCUACGGAGGACAUGAGAGGCAAGGGUGAUCCACAUGUCCAUGUAAGGAGAGAGAAAGGAUUCAUCCCCUCGCCCUCCCUGCCUCGGCAGCGCACAGGAGCCGUGGGCAGUGGCUUUAGCUGCCAAGGUUCCUUCCUGCCUAGUGUGGCUCAGAACUUCCUAAGGCGGGCGGGGCUUUGGGGAGGAAUUCAGCUACCGUCUGGAAAGAGGAGGUUAACUUCCUACCUGGACGUGGGGGCGAGGAAGGCAGAGUGGCAUCAGGUUCGCAACUGCUGCAGGCUGACUGGGAAGGNNNNNNNNNNNNNNNNNNNNNNNNNNNNNNNNNNNNNNNNNNNNNNNNNNNNNNNNNNNNNNCAGGUCUUCUGGCUCAGCCCUCCUUCCAGCUGA
rnacentral:lncRNA from 1 species